GCGCCUGUAGCUCAGGGGAUAGAGCACCGGUUUCCUAAACCGGGUGUCGGAGGUUCAAAUCCUUCCAGGCGCACCA
rnacentral:tRNA from 1 species